rnacentral:rRNA from 1 species
AUUGAACGCUGGCGGCGUGCUUAACACAUGCAAGUCGAACGCGAAAGGGACUUCGGUCCUGAGUAAAGCGGCGCACGGGUGAGUAACGCGUGGAUAAUCUGCCCUUAUGAUCGGGAUAACAGUUGGAAACGGCUGCUAAUACCGGAUACGCUCAAAAUGAACUUUUUGAGGAAAGAUGGCCUCUGCUUGCAUGCUAUCACGUAAGGAUGAGUCCGCGUCCCAUUAGCUUGUUGGCGGGUAACGGCCACCAAGGCAACGAUGGGUAGCCGAUUUGAGAGGAUGAUCGGCCACACUGGAACUGAAACACGGUCCAGACUCCUACGGGAGGCAGCAGUGGGGAAUAUUGCGCAAUGGGCGAAAGCCUGACGCAGCGACGCCGCGUGAGGGAUUGAAGGUUUUCGGAUCGUAAACCUCUGUCAGAAGGGAAGAAACUACGUUGUGCUAAUCAGCAGCGUACUGACGGUACCUUCAAAGGAAGCACCGGCUAACUCCGUGCCAGCAGCCGC